UACGUAGGGUGCGAGCGUUGUCCGGAAUUAUUGGGCGUAAAGAGCUUGUAGGCGGUUUGUCGCGUCUGCUGUGAAAAUCCGGGGCUCAACCCCGGACUUGCAGUGGGUACGGGCAGACUAGAGUGUGGUAGGGGAGACUGGAAUUCCUGGUGUAGCGGUGAAAUGCGUAGAUAUCAGGAGGAACACCGGUGGCGAAGGCGGAUCUCUGGGCCUUACCUGACGCUCAGGUGCGAAAGCUAGGGGAGCGAACAGG
rnacentral:rRNA from 1 species